AAACCCAAACCAGUGCCUCUGUCUCUCUCUCUUCAGCGUCUCUCUUUCUCUCUAUCUCUCUCUCUCCCUCUGCCUCUCCCUCUCCGCUGCUCCUCUCCCCUCCCUCGCGGUCGCCAGCAACUGGAGCACCGAUUCACCUCGUUGUUGGUCACCGUUGCAUGAGAUCCAUCGCCCAAGGAAGCUCGAUCGGCGACUCCUCCCUCGCAGCUCCUCGCAUUGCAAGGUUUUUGUCUUCCUCUCUCUAAUCGACUGAUAUAUAUAUAUAUAUAAUAAUAAUCUCUACACCGAUUGUGAGAUCAAUUAUUGUUGCUUAAACCUAUUGAUCCGAUCCAUUGUUGGUUUUAAUUUCUCUGAGAAUCGUUUGAGAGAGAGAGAAAAAAAAAUGAUGUCGGAGGGUAGGGUUUGGGUCGGAGCAUCUCAUUCACACAGAAAGAGUGCUAUUUCUGGCAUUGAUGUGAUAAAGACAUUUGUUUUUUAUACUUAUCUGGUACACUUUCAGCGCGAUUUUGACCCGGUAAGUUUGUCCUAUACUCAAUCAGUAAUUGGCUAAAUGUUUGAUUCUUAAACCUUUCCUUCUCACUGUUUUAAACUUGUUUGUUCUUAAUACGCAUCUAUUCUGCCAGGUACAAAAAAACUCUCUUAGGAGAUGAUUUUGGAAAGUUCCCAGUUCCUUUAUUGAUGAAUACAUUUCACUUUGUGAUGCAAGUUGUGUUAUCAACAGCUAUAACAUGGUUUUGGCCUCAAAGAUUUCAACCCAGGGUAACUAUGUCAUGGCGGGAUUACUUCAUGAGAGGGAGUGAGUAAAGGCCUAGUUGCAGAGAAGAUCUUCACAUUAAUGGCCGAGAGUGGAAGGCAAGCUGAUUUCGUAUCAAGCAUUGUCUACACUUAUCAAGCGUUGGCUUCACUUAUACAUAACUGAUACAUGUUAAGGGAAACUUGUCGAAGAGAUCACUCCACAGUAAUACAGAGAUCACUUCAAUUUCAGGCUGAGGUGUCUCGGCUUAUGGACAUCAUUAUCAACUCACUUUACAGCAAUAAAGAUAUCUCUUUUAGGGAAUAUAUUUGGCAUGGUAGUAAAUAUAUUUGUGUGCAGAUGACAUGUUUUGGUAUGAUUUUUUGUUUUAUAUGGAAUAAUAUUAUUACUGUAGGUUGGAAUAUACUUAAUUUGUAUGAAAUUUGACAUUAAAAGUUAUUCCUUUUUGGAUGGUUGGAAGUGAAA